rnacentral:rRNA from 1 species
GACGAACGCUGGCGGCGUGCUUAACACAUGCAAGUCGAACGGAAAGGCCCUGCUUUUGUUGGGUUCUCGAGUGGCGAACGGGUGAGUAACACGUGAGUAACCUGCCCUUGACUUUGGGAUAACUUCAGGAAACUGGGGCUAAUACCGGAGAGGAUCUCCUGCUGCAUGGUGGUGGUUGGAAAGUUUCGGCGGUUGGGGAUGGACUCGCGGCUUAUCAGCUUGUUGGUGGGGUAGUGGCUACCAAGGCUUUGACGGGUAGCCGGCCUGAGAGGGUGACCGGCCACAUUGGGACUGAGAUACGGCCCAGACUCCUACGGGAGGCAGCAGUGGGGAAUAUUGCACAAUGGGCGGAAGCCUGAUGCAGCAACGCCGCGUGCGGGAUGACGGCCUUCGGGUUGUAAACCGCUUUCGACUGUGACGAAGCGUGAGUGACGGUAAUGGGUAAAGAAGCAACGGCUAACUACGUG